AACGAACGCUGGCGGCAUGCCUAACACAUGCAAGUCGAACGAGACCUUCGGGUCCAGUGGCGCACGGGUGCGUAACGCGUGGGAACCUGCCCUUAGGUUCGGAAUAACUCCCCGAAAGGGGUGCUAAUACCGGAUAAUGUCUUCGGACCAAAGAUUUAUCGCCUUUGGAUGGGCCCGCGUAGGAUUAGCUAGUUGGUAGGGUAAAGGCCUACCAAGGCGACGAUCCUUAGCUGGUCUUAGAGGAUGAUCAGCCACACUGGGACUGAGACACGGCCCAGACUCCUACGGGAGGCAGCAGUGGGGAAUAUUGGACAAUAGGCGAAAGCCUGAUCCAGCAAUGCCGCGUGAGUGAUGAAGGCCUUAGGGUUGUAAAGCUCUUUUACCCGGGAUGAUAAUGACAGUACCGGGAGAAUAAGCCCCGGCUAACUCCGUGCCAGCCGCCGCGGUAA
rnacentral:rRNA from 1 species